UGUGAGCUUACAAAGCCUCUUGUUGGUCUGGGAAUUGAGUACUUGGGAUUUCCCUGCAUGAAACCCAAGAACAUGCAGGCCUGGCUGCUGAAGUUGGAGAAAAAUGACUUGUGCAGCCAGUGGCUUUUCCCUGGGUAAUGAUAGUGAGAGGCACCUCUCAGAGGGAGGUGUUAAUACAGUGCACAUGCAGCAGCUUACAGGAAGCCAAAGGCUUUUCCUCCUCCUGAGUGAUGCACCCUGCAGGAGGACGCUUGCAGGAUGCCUUCUGCGGGGCCUUCACCCUCUGACUUCUGUGGGAUGCUCCAUGCUGUGCGGACACCAUAGCAGCAGCUUGGGCAUGGCUGGCACUCCUCCCUGCUGCUCCUGGAGCCCCACUCCUCCCUUGGCUGUCAGCUGCCACCUGCUGCUUCUGCACAGGGGGACGUUAACCAGAAGGUUCCUACAGAACUCUUGGCAGACAGACACAGACAGCACUCCUGCUGUCACCCGGUCACGUUGUCUGCGUGUCAUCCAUGUGCUGCUGAUACACCUCUCUCUGCUGCUGCAGCUUGUGCUGUGGGAUCUAAGUCCUUGACCGAACGUCUUCAUUUCAGGUAUGGAACAAGGAGCUGACUGAUUUCGCCGUGCCUAACAGCCAGCUGCUUGCAGUUAAAGCAGCAGUCUCCUUCAUGUUCAAAUCAGCUCUACGUUUUCUUUCCACAUUUGUUCCCAAACCACGUCGCAUAAGGAAAAAGCACCUCUUUCCCCGUUUCCAGGCCCUAUUUCCAUUUGGGCCUCGGAUCACAGUGACCAGGAGAGCAGAACCGCACCGUGCCCACGCACACCCAGGUUCUGUUCUGUUUUCAGACUGAAGCCGAGACGCUGCUCAACAGAAAUAAGAAAGGAGAUGCAAACGAUCAAUAUGAAGCGGCCGAGGGACGACUCAUGCAAGAUAUGCUGUGUGCACUUAGGAAGAACAACCGCAGCCCCCCAAAGAUUUGGCACGACCUGUCAGGCCAGCAUUAAUCUUGCGUGAUGAAUAAUGUGGCAGUCUAGGAGUUUUUAACAGCUUUAAAAUGAGAAAACUGUGGGACGCGAUAGCCGAAAGUAAAUCUGCUCAAAAAUUGGAGAAUACUUUGGAUCAAAUGGAGAUACUGAGUAAUGCGUGUGUAACUAUUUAAGCAUCAAUUGCUGCAAGCGAGGCGGGCUUGUGGCUGGGAGCAGCUUUAUGCCACAAAUAAUUCACCCAAAGAUUUAAUUAUAAGUCAGGGCUGAGGCUGGAGCGAUUCCGAGAAGGGGCCCGGCCCUGUGGUGUGUGAGGGGCAGGAGCACCUCCCAGCACCUCCCAUUGGCACUGGGCCAGGUCUGGGGAUGCUACGCGGGGCCAGGCCCAGCUGGCGCUGCCUGGAAAUUUAGGGGGAAUUGGGGGUUUUAGGCUGACAAACCAAACUGGUUGUGUGUGGGGGAUAGCGGGAAGGAUACCGUCCUGCCUGAAGUCGGCACCAAUUUGCUGCCGGCUGUCGCGGGGACAAGAUCAGGCUUUGCGUGUGAAGUCACCUCCCUCGGAGGUGGCCUGACAAAUGCUAAAGCAAAACGUUUCAUUUAGAAGCUGUCACAGAGGAAUUACUCACCUUUUAUGCUUAUUAAAUUUGCCGUGUGCUUUCCUGUAAAGGGACCGGAGAGCGGCCGGACAUUUUAAUUUUCACUCUUUGCAAAAUAAAGAUGACAGUCAAGAACUUUGCCUGUUUUUACAGCUUCUAAUGAAAGCAGUUCAUUCCGUUUUUAUGGAAAGGAAAAUAAAAUGUGUUUGUUUCCGCAGAUUUUAGGAGAAUUAGCAUGUAUCCGAUUGUUAAUAUUUGAUCCUUCUUUAAUUAUUUAUGGUAUCAAGGAAUGAAUCUGUCAAGUAAAUAAUGAAAUGCGUACAUGCAGCAUAUGUAAUUAGGUUAGGUGCAUAAAUCCAAAGUGUUCACUUUAUAGUUGUCAGAGCAAAAUUUAUUAAUAAUGAGAAAUGCUAAGUGAAGAAAAUCCCUAACAGUGCUCAUUAGUGUAGGUUAGAGCAGUUGCCGAGGAGGAAAGUUGCCCCUCUGCUCUCUCUGCUUUGUCACCUGAGGACGUUAGCAGGCUCACAGCCUUCCCAAAACACAUCUCUAUAUCACACAUGUGUAGCACAGAGCCUCUCCUCUUCAGAUCUGGGUGCUCCAGGAACCAAGCCAUGGCUUGGCAGCAGGCAAUGCCUCCUCAUCCUCUGUGCUCCUUGAAUUGUUCCUGCUUUCUGCAGAUUAUGGCAAAAUUGGUCCUCGUUAAUAAAAAAACAAAGCAAAAUUAAUCUGCGAAUUGGUGCCUCUUGGGGCGAGAGGAAGAUGUGUGAGGCAGAUGAAACACCUGUUUGAGACAGAGAACUGCCACUGUGGGACCGUGAAGAGCAGUUCUCUAUCCCUAAAGGUGUUUUUCAGAGCUCCCGCUCCAAAGGAAGAUCUGAUUGCUAAAUGUAUAUUUAAAACGUAUUUCAAUAUCAUUUUGAAGCUUAUCAUUAGCACAAGCACUUCACGGGCUAAUUCUCUAUACCCAAAGACAAGCAUUACCUCCAGCUUACGUUUGCUGCUGGAAAUGAGAUAUCGGAUGUGAAUGAGUGACUGGGGCUCCUUGCCCCACCACGGAGAUCCGUCCUGGGCCAAAGCUGUCACCUGAGGCUCAGCCCAAGGCAUGGGGGAGGACUGCCUCCAGGAGAUGCAUGCAGAAGUCUCAGGGGGUAUCGCAGAGCACUUUUUGUUUGUAGAGCUCCAUCUGACUGCACGGCCCUGCCAUUGCCCUGUGCUGGCCAAGGGAGGAGGUGGGAUGCAGGGGUGUCGGUAUGCCGGGUGGGAGCCUCGCUGCUGCCCGUAGUGGUGCAAAAUUAAGUGGAUUGUGAAAUGGAGCCACAAGAGGAAGGAUGCUGACAGCCCUUCAUUACACUUUGCAUCACGCCGUUAGAUUUUAAUCACAGUGCUUCAGAUCAGAAUCGCAAAUCCUCUUAUCUGCCGUAAGAGCUUCUUUCAAGCUUAGCGUUUUUAUGCCCCAUGUAAGAUGCAACAAUAUUCAUCUCCGCUAGUCAAGCUUAGAAAUGCAUUAAACUGCCCAACCAGAAAAUCGGGAACAGGCAUUUAGUGAUGCAAAAUGGUCAUUCUGCAACCUAAUGCCUAGGGGACAGAUCAGUCAUCGCAGCCCCCUCCUGCCUGAAAGGACCAAUUAGAUGGCUCUGCCUAUUCAACUAUCAAUGCAGGAUUGCUCCCAACAGGAUAUUCCCCUGUGCUUUCCCCAGUCUAAUUUUAAAUUAUUCAAGCGCCCAGACUUCUAUUGCCUCCCUGGGGUGACCAUUACACAACUGAAGGUCUCACGGUGAGGAAAUGUUUCCUGAUAUUCUGUCACAAUUUUCCUAUGCUCAGCCUCAUCCCGUUUUACAUAGUUACACAUUCUUGAACAGCUCUGACUUCUUUGGUUGCUGUGCUGCUGCAUAAUACAAAGCCAGCUAGCUCUUCUUGCUCUAUUUUUGGCACGAUCCUUCCUGCUGGGCAUUGAGCAUUCGGAGGACAUCCAGACGUCUCACGGUGCUGCUCCGGACCCGCAGUGCCCACAUCACCCAAACAAAGCCCUGGGAGAGGAACUGCUGCCUGCGUACAUCCUCUGAGGAAGGAUGACAGGGGCUAAACAAAGAGGAGACGAGGAAAAAAAAUCAACCUGAGGUUCUAUGUGCUGCUGUGGGAAGAGGAAUUAGCUACUCGCAUGCGUGUCCACUACCAGUGAAUAACCAGGAUGAACCUCCUUGAAAGGAAAGCUCACGGCCUGCUCUAUGUGUGAGGGUUUGGUGAGCAGCAAGCGCUGGAGCCCAGUUUGUUGGGGCUGUUGGGGCACAAGGGUAUGGCACUGAGCUGCGAAUGGGACCUGGCCGCAUCUUUCAGCAGGAUGCCUGUCGCUGGCAUCUGGGCAGGACGGAGGUCUGCUCCCCACCACUGUGCUCAGUAAAGAGCAGCUACAUUGUGUGGCUGCUCCUCGAGUCUGAGCCAACAUCACCUGCAUUUUGGGUCCGGUGCCUUUGGGAGGAGUUAUCCCAAGGUCAUCGCGGGACCUUUCAGCUCAGUCUCGGUCACAUUUUCUCUUCUGAUUCUCGGUCAGAUUUCUUUUCUGAUUCUCCCCCCACACAGUGAGUGUUGUGUAGUCAAACCCUUCAUCCGUUUUAUCAGACAGGCAGAACUGGGAGUCUGAUAUCUUUUAAAAAAAGGUACAGCUCUCUGAUUAACUGAAGAGUAAUAGCAUGAAAUCCUAGUCUCCAAUAAGUAACAUAUUGAUGCUUAUGUCUAAUUUAAUCAGCAUCAGGGGGGACGGGGGUGCCCAUUCCUUCACCAUCAGUUAUGCAGCAGUUCAAGGUGAUAAAUCCUAUCUGUGGAAUGAUAUUCCGUCGACAUUUCUAUAAUAUUAAUUAGAUCACCGUGUCAGGCUGUAGGAAAUUUGCUUAACAUUCAUUAGAAAUUUCGUAUAGAUAGAUGAGCAUCCCUCCCUCCCUCUGCUCCCGCUUUCUUUCUCCUGUGAUUGACAGAGGAGGUCAAGCUGGAGACAGUCCCCCGCCCCUCAGAGUCUGGGGAGCCGGGUCACCGGACUCCAUCACGCGUGGAGCGGAGGGAGGGCUGUGCCUGGAAGAGAUAUCCUAUGAAAUGGGACAAAGGCUCAUCUGCCUCGGGCCCCGUUGUUGGCUCUCCCGGCCUGCAGCCAGCAUGCAGGACGCGGGCGAGCGCGCGCCGUGAAAGCCAUUUGCAUUACCCCGCAGUCAUUUUUAUACGUGGAGGUAAUGAAGUUGUCAGCGGAGCCCUGAGUGUGGCAGAGCCUGAUAUUCAAAUAGACCUGCCAGCGCUCCCCUCGGCUCCCCCCGUCCCCGCAGCUGAUCUACCGACUCCCUGGAUUACUGCUUCGCUGGCUCCCGGGCCCCUGCUGUGCUUGCACUCUUGCCCCCGUCAAGUGCUUUUGUUUCCGAGCUGGGGAGCACGCAGCUGUGGCUGCACCAUGCAUCUGAGCAUGGAGAGAGCGACAAGCAUCCCACCCACGGCAUGCCUCAUCUGUGCUGGGUUUGCAGGGAGAGCCCCCCAGAACACUGCACUAGUCCCAGGCUGGGAGCCUGGGUGGUUUGUUAUAGUCAAAAGGAGGAGGAGGGCUUCAGAUUUAGGUGGAUAUUCUAUGUGAGGUGGAGGUGACAGGUUCAUAUCUUGCGCAUGUGCUGUGCCCCUUUUGCUGAGCACUGCACAGCUGGGAGGGAUGCGGCAGCCAAGCAGUGUGUGGCUCGAGCUCACCGGUGGUGAGAGGGUGUUGGCAAAGGGCAACACAGACAUACCUCAUUCUCACAAAAGAAACCACAGGGUCAUAAAUAACAAGGCAGGUCAGACUGGCCUUCGGUAAUUUUUAAGUCGAUUUUGGAAAGAAGAAAAAUUCCCCGUGGCAAAGCUGCCUGGUAAGCAAAAGGUCUGAUUCAACCCCAUUAGCCUUGGAAACUAGUUUUUACUAAAUAUGGGACUAGGCUGUCAGCUGCUGUUCGUUGGCAUGAACCCGCUGAAGUCAAUGGAAUGACAGUGAUUUAUACCGGGCUGAAGACGGUAGGAUGGAUAUCUAAAAGAAGGGCUGUCUUUUUCUGCCUUCAG
ensembl:lncRNA